GCCAGUGUGGUGUAGUGGUUUGAGUGUUGGACUAUGACUCUGUAGACUAGGGUUCAAAUCCCCACUUGAUCA
rnacentral:tRNA from 1 species